CUCAGGAUGAACGCUAGCUACAGGCUUAACACAUGCAAGUCGAGGGGCAGCAUGGUCUUAGCUUGCUAAGGCCGAUGGCGACCGGCGCACGGGUGAGUAACGCGUAUCCAACCUGCCUUACACUCUUGGACAGCCUUCUGAAAGGGAGAUUAAUACAAGAUGUUAUCAUGAGUAAGCAUUUUCACAUGAUUAAAGGUUUACCGGUGUAAGAUGGGGAUGCGUUCCAUUAGAUAGUAGGCGGGGUAACGGCCCACCUAGUCUUCGAUGGAUAGGGGUUCUGAGAGGAAGGUCCCCCACAUUGGAACUGAGACACGGUCCAAACUCCUACGGGAGGCAGCAGUGAGGAAUAUUGGUCAAUGGACGAGAGUCUGAACCAGCCAAGUAGCGUGAAGGAUGAAGGUUCUAUGGAUUGUAAACUUCUUUUAUACGGGAAUAAACGAAUCCACGUGUGGAUUUUUGCAUGUACCGUAUGAAUAAGGAUCGGCUAACUCCGUGCCAGCAGCCGCGGUAAUACGGAGGAUCCGAGCGUUAUCCGGAUUUAUUGGGUUUAAAGGGAGCGUAGAUGGGUUGUUAAGUCAGUUGUGAAAGUUUGCGGCUCAACCGUAAAAUUGCAAUUGAUACUGGCAGUCUUGAGUACAGUUGAGGUAGGCGGAAUUCGUGGUGUAGCGGUGAAAUGCUUAGAUAUCACGAAGAACUCCGAUUGCGAAGGCAGCUUACUAACCUGUAACUGACAUUGAUGCUCGAAAGUGUGGGUAUCAAACAGGAUUAGAUACCCUGGUAGUCCACACGGUAAACGAUGAAUACUCGCUGUAGGCGAUAUACAGUCUGCGGCCAAGCGAAAGCAUUAAGUAUUCCACCUGGGGAGUACGCCGGCAACGGUGAAACUCAAAGGAAUUGACGGGGGCCCGCACAAGCGGAGGAACAUGUGGUUUAAUUCGAUGAUACGCGAGGAACCUUACCCGGGCUUAAAUUGCAACCGAAUAUGGCGGAAACGCUAUAGCUAGCAAUAGCGGUUGUGAAGGUGCUGCAUGGUUGUCGUCAGCUCGUGCCGUGAGGUGUCAGCUUAAGUGCCAUAACGAGCGCAACCCUUGCCGAUAGUUACUAACAGGUCAUGCUGAGGACUCUGUCGGGACUGCCAUCGUAAGAUGUGAGGAAGGUGGGGAUGACGUCAAAUCAGCACGGCCCUUACGUCCGGGGCUACACACGUGUUACAAUGGGGGGUACAGAGGGCUGCUACCACGCAAGUGGAUGCCAAUCCCAAAAACCUCUCUCAGUUCGGAUUGAAGUCUGCAACCCGACUUCAUGAAGCUGGAUUCGCUAGUAAUCGCGCAUCAGCCACGGCGCGGUGAAUACGUUCCCGGGCCUUGUACACACCGCCCGUCAAGCCAUGGGAGCCGGGGGUACCUGAAGUGCGUAACCGCAAGGAGCGCCCUAGGGUAAAACUG
rnacentral:rRNA from 1 species